GCAGACUUAAGUCUGC
rnacentral:misc_RNA from 1 species